UACGUAGGGUGCGAGCGUUAAUCGGAAUUACUGGGCGUAAAGCGUGCGCAGGCGGUUUUGUAAGCCAGAUGUGAAAGCCCCGGGCUCAACCUGGGAAUGGCAUUUGGGACUGCAAGGCUUGAGUGCGGCAGAGGAGACUGGAAUUCCUGGUGUAGCAGUGAAAUGCGUAGAUAUCAGGAGGAACACCUAUUGCGAAGGCAGCUCGCUGGGACGUUACUGACGCUGAGACGCGAAAGCGUGGGGAGCAAACAGG
rnacentral:rRNA from 1 species